UGCAGUCGAGCGAUGGAUUGAGAGCUUGCUCUUAUGAAGUUAGCGGCGGACGGGUGAGUAACACGUGGGUAACCUGCCCAUAAGACUGGGAUAACUCCGGGAAACCGGGGCUAAUACCGGAUAACAUUUUGAACUGCAUGGUUCGAAAUUGAAAGGCGGCUUCGGCUGUCACUUAUGGAUGGACCCGCGUCGCAUUAGCUAGUUGGUGAGGUAACGGCUCACCAAGGCAACGAUGCGUAGCCGACCUGAGAGGGUGAUCGGCCACACUGGGACUGAGACACGGCCCAGACUCCUACGGGAGGCAGCAGUAGGGAAUCUUCCGCAAUGGACGAAAGUCUGACGGAGCAACGCCGCGUGAGUGAUGAAGGCUUUCGGGUCGUAAAACUCUGUUGUUAGGGAAGAACAAGUGCUAGUUGAAUAAGCUGGCACCUUGACGGUACCUAACCAGAAAGCCACGGCUAACUACGUGCCAGCAGCCGCGGUAAUACGUAGGUGGCAAGCGUUAUCCGGAAUUAUUGGGCGUAAAGCGCGCGCAGGUGGUUUCUUAAGUCUGAUGUGAAAGCCCACGGCUCAACCGUGGAGGGUCAUUGGAACUGGGAGA
rnacentral:rRNA from 1 species